rnacentral:lncRNA from 1 species
GGUUAAGAGGACAACCAACCUAUAUGGCACACAAUGACCUAUGCUUGAUAAAUAUUGUCGUCCUUGGUAACAACGUAUCAUUUGAUCGCGAACAGAUUUAAGGACUAAACGAUAAAUCCUCCUUUGUCGAGUCUAAAUAGUCCUAAGGACUUCAUCACAACAUAGGAGUUCAUUAGAAGAUGAAACAUUUUGUGAUGAAAAAUAUCAAAAUAAUUUUUAUUAAUUCAUAAUUCAUGUAUAAAU